UACGUAGGGGGCUAGCGUUGUCCGGAUUUAUUGGGCGUAAAGAGCGUGUAGGCGGCCAGGUAGGUCCGCUGUGAAAACCCGAGGCUCAACCUCGGGACGUCGGCGGAAACCAUCUGGCUAGAGUCCGGAAGAGGAGAGUGGAAUUCCCGGUGUAGCGGUGAAAUGCGCAGAUAUCGGGAAGAACACCCGUGGCGAAGGCGGCUCUCUGGGACGGUACUGACGCUGAGACGCGAAAGCGUGGGGAGCGAACAGG
rnacentral:rRNA from 1 species